AGUAGGGGCAGCGUUGUCCGGAAUUAUUGGGCGUAAAGGGCGCGNAGGCGGUCUUUUAAGUCUGAUGUGAAAUCCCGCGGCUCAACCGCGGAAGGUCAUUGGAAACUGGAAGACUUGAGUGCAGAAGAGGAAAGCGGAAUUCCANGUGUAGCGGUGAAAUGCGUAGAGAUGUGGAGGAACACCAGUGGCGAAGGCGGCUCCCUGGNCUGUAACUGACGCUNAGGCGCGAAAGCGUGGGGAGCAAACAGGAUUAGAUACCCUGGUAGUCCACGCCGUAAACGAUGAGUGCUAGGUGUUAGGGGGUUUCCACCCCUUANUGCNGNNNUNAACGCNUUAANCACUCCGCCUGGGGANUACGGCCGCAAGGCUG
rnacentral:rRNA from 1 species